UCAUCAGAAGGAUAAUCCUUACCUGUUCCUCCUCUCAGAGGGCAGUUAGAAAAGGAUGACUGGGGCUUGCAUGGUCUGCUGAUUAGCAUUCCCGAGUAAUCAGGACCUGGCAACAUCCUGGGUGCUCCUAUCUGAU